UUCAUCCCAUUUUUCAUCCCAGGUGAUUCCCCAUCCCAAAUCCCACACUCAAUCAUCCUCCAGGAUCCAUCCCAGGUUAUCCCAUCUCUGGAUGAUCUCCCAGAUCCCAUCCCAGGUUAUUCCUGGCUUAGAUGAUCCCACAGAACCCAUCCCAGGUGAUUCCCUGUCCCAAAUCCCACACUGAAUGAUCCCACAGAAUCCAUCCCAAGGGAUUCCUUUCCCAAAUCCCACAAGGGAUGAUCGCACUGACCCCUAUCCCAAAUCCCACACUGAAUCAUCUUCCAGGAUCCAUCCCAGGUGAUUCCCAAAUCCCAGACUGGAUGAUCCCACAGAAUCCAUCCCAAGUGAUUUCUAUCCCAAACCCCACAGCAGAUGAUCCCACAGGACCCAUUCCAGAUAAUUCCUAUCCCAGUUCCCAUAUUAGAUGAUUCCAAGGUCCCAUCCCAGGUGAUUUCUAUCCCAAAUCCCACACUGGAUGGUGCCCCAGAUCCCAUUCCAGGUAAUUCCUAUCCCAGAUCAUUCUCAGUUCCUAUCCCAGGUGAUUUCUAUCCCAAACCCCACAGCAGAUGAUCCCACAGAACCCAUUCCAGAUAAUUCCCAUCCCAGUUCCCAUAUCAGAUGAUCCCAAGGUCUCAUCCCAGGUGAUCCCCAUCCCAAAUCCCACAAGGGAUGAUCCCACUGAGCCCUGUCCCAAAUCCCACACUGGACGAUCCCACAGAAUCCAUCCCAGGUAAUUCCUAUCCCAGCUGAUCUCACAGAAUCCAUCCCAGGUGAUUCCUGUCCCAAAUCCCACAAGGGAUGAUCCCACUGACCCUGUCCCAAAUCCCACACUGGAUGAUCCCACAGAAUCCAUCCCAGGUGAUUCCCUGUCCCAAAUCCCACAGCAGAUGAUCCCACAGGACCCAUCCAGGUAAUUCCCUGUCCCAAAUCCCACAGCACAUGAUUCCACAGAACUCAUCCCAGGUAAUUCCUAUCCUGGAUGAUCCCAUAGAAUCCAUCCCAGGUGAUUCCUGUCCCAAAUCCCACAGCAGAUGAUCCCACAGAACUCAUCCCAGGUAAUUCCCUGUCCCAAAUCCCACACUGGAUGAUGUCCCAGAUCCCAUCCCAGGUAAUUCCUAUCCCAGAUCAUUCCCAGUU